rnacentral:rRNA from 1 species
GGUAUGCAACGCGUUGGGCGGUGUCCCGCGCGGACGUUUAGGCCCCUCUCUGCAUGGCGCGGUAGCGACUGGGGGUACCGGUACUUCCCAGGUGUUUCCUGGCGGUUGUCAGGUGAGCAGUUGAGAGCUCAGGUGAGGUGCGGCGGCGAGCGCAACCCUCAUCGUUAGUUGGCAUCAGGUAAUGCUGAGUAUUCUAUGGAAGCUGCCCAUGAUAAGCUGGAAGAAGGUGGGGAUGAUGUCAAGUCAUCAUGGCCUUUAUGGAGUGGGCUACACACGUGCUACAAUGGUGUCUACAAUGGGCUGCAAGGUGCGCAAGCAUAAGCUAAUCCCUAAAAGACAUCUCAGUUCGGAUUGUACUCUGCAACUCGAGUACAUGAAGUUGGAAUCGCUAGUAAUCGUGGAUCAGCAUGCCACGGUGAAUAAGCUUUGGGUAAUGACACACUGCUCG